CACCAAAACUAACUCUGUCUCCAAACAGACCAAAGCAAGAUUCUAUAUGACACGUCAUCUAGGAGUUCUAUUGGGAUGCGUCCAAAUGGAUUUCUUAGCAUAUGGUAUGUUCCAUACAAACCGUGCACCUAUCUUGCAUCAAGAUUAGCACUAUCUCCAAACAGAUCGAACCAACCUUCCACUUGAGCCUCUUCACCUAGGAGUAUUAUCGGGUGCUUCCAUAAUGGUUUCUGAGCCUAUGGUGCAUUAUGCGCAAACCAUGCACCCAAUCUUGCACCUAAACUAACACUGUCUCCAAACAGAUUGAUUCAAGAUUCCAUAUGACACACAUGAUCUAGGAGUUCUAUCGGGUGUGUCCAAAUUGAUUUCUGAGAAUAUGGUACG
rnacentral:lncRNA from 1 species